UCUCUCAAAUUUCAAAUUUCGCACGAAGACCUCUCUCUCUCUCUCUGAAAUCUCUCUGCCCGUACAGAUCUAAAAUCUCUCUGCCCGUGGAGCGUCGUCCGUCGUCCGGCGCUUCCGUCGUCCGUCGUCCGAUGAUUCCAACGCUGCCCAGUCGUCCGGCGCUUCCGUCGUCCGUCGUCCGGUGCCCUUCUCCGUCGUCCAGCGCCCGUCGUCCAGCGCUUCCCUCUCUCUCUCUGAAAUCUCUCUUCGUACAGAUCUGCUCUCCGGUCAGUGACGUCGCCGGCUUCUCUCUUGGCGGUAGGCGUCCUCUGUCGUCCCCACUCCAGUAGAUUUGGCGGCCGGAUCUGUCUCCGGCGACGCCCAUAAAAAAGGAUCUCUCUCUCUUUGGCCGGAUCUGUUGCUACAAAUAAAAGGGGUGAAUUUCCUCUCUCGCCGGCCACCAAGACCCACUGACCGCCACCCAUCGGAGCAACCCCCUCCCUCUCUCUCGCCGUGUUCCUGUUGUAUUCAUGAAGUAAGUUGACACAACCUGAGUGCAGGGUACUGUUAAUGUUAGAUUUUUUUAUCAAAACAUUGUUGCUGUUGUGGGAAUAUGAAUUGCUAAGUUUUUUUUUUUUUUCAAUUACAACAUGAUGGUGUAGUGUAAUUUAUUUGUUCUUACUUUUUCCCGGUGCCAAUUUCAUUCUCAAGUUUGGAAUAAUGUAUAUGGCUUUGACAUGAGUUGCAUCAAGAAGCAAGCCUUGAUGGAGCCCCUUGUCGACACAGUUGAUCAGAAUCAAAUUUUUACGAUCUGCGAGCUACUUAAGGUAAUGGAUAUCUCCAAGAUGGCUCCUGGGGAUGCUUCCUUCACUACUCCUUUCCAACUUGUGGUAGAACGUGAUGAUUACAUCCAUGCUCUUUUGCAAGUGUCAUAAGUUGACAAGCUUCUCCACAUUUUAUUGUUUGGAUUAAGUUUUGUUGUGGUACAUGUAAUGAUUCAAACUGUAUAUGGUUUAAAGGAAAAAGCAUUUCUUUAUUUAACAUAUUUCAUUCUUGAAUUUGCUAAUGCCCCAUAAGCUAGGGUUAUAAAUUCCAUAUCUGACUAUGGUAUCAAGUCAAUCAAAUUUAUAU